rnacentral:rRNA from 1 species
UACGUAGGCAGCGAGCGUUGUUCGGAGUUACUGGGCGUAAAGCGUGCGUAGGCGGUGGUCCAAGUCUGGUGUGAAAUCUCCCGGCUUAACCGGGAGGGUGCGGCGAAUACUGAGAUGCUGGAGUGCGGGAGAGGUAAGCGGAAUUCCUGGUGUAGCGGUGAAAUGCGUAGAUAUCUGGAGGAACAUCAGUGGCGAAAGCGACUUCCUGGACCAAUACUGACGCUCAUGUGCGAAAAGCGUGGGGAGCAAACAGG